AGAGUUUGAUCCUGGCUCAGAACGAACGCUAGCGGCGUGGAUAAGACAUGCAAGUCGUGCGAGGAACUGAAGAGCUUGCUUUGAAGUUCCUAGCGGCGGACGGGUGAGUAACACGUGAGCACCUGCCCUGAAGAGGGGGAUAGCCCGGGGAAACCCGGAUUAAUACCCCAUGACAUCUUCGGAUCAAAGGCGGCCUUUGGCUGUCGCUUUGGGAUGGGCUCGCGGCCUAUUAGCUUGUUGGCGGGGUAACGGCUCACCAAGGCGAUGACGGGUAGCUGGUCUGAGAGGACGAUCAGCCACACUGGAACUGAGACACGGUCCAGACACCUACGGGUGGCAGCAGUCGAGAAUCAUUCACAAUGGGCGCAAGCCUGAUGGUGUGACGUCGCGUGGAGGAUGAAGGUCCUAGGACUGUAAACUCCUGUCAUCAGGGAGUAAGACAUGUGUAUUAAUAGUGCCCAUGUUUGAUAGUACCUGAAGAGGAAGGGACGGCUAACUUCGUGCCAGCAGCCGCGGUAAUACGAAGGUCCCAAGCGUUGUUCGGAAUCACUGGGCGUAAAGGGAGCGUAGGCGGUUCGGUAAGUCGGGUGUGAAAGGCGGGGGCUCAACCUCCGGACUGCAUCUGAUACUGCCGUGACUAGAGUAGUGGAGGGGAAACUGGAAUUCUCGGUGUAGCAGUGAAAUGCGUGGAUAUC
rnacentral:rRNA from 1 species